AAGAUGUUUCUACUAAAUGGCGUUAAUGUUUUAGCCAAAAUUUUUUAGUAGAGCGUAUCCAUGUGUGCGAUCCAACAAUCUGAACCCUGUAACCUAUCGCAUACAACUCUUUCAGACGUGUCCUAAUGGGCGUGGUUCAUGAGAAUAAGCCGCUUGUAUACUACCCCUUUUUAUUUUGAAAAAGUCAUAUAAGGGUGAGGCCCUAAACAAUCAAAUUAAGGGGCACCUCAAAAAUUUCUUAGAAAA
rnacentral:lncRNA from 1 species